CUUUUAUCACAUUAUUUUUUUUUCAUCAGUUGAUGGGAACACGGCUAGCUAGCCUGCUGGCUAAAUAAGCUUACUUUUUACUACAAGUUCGUGUUAGAUGUUUAUGACAAUCAAUAUUUUAUUUUAAGCAAGUCUGAGUCUUACUGACUUCAGGAACCUCGCGGCUAACGAAAAUGCAAGUCUUUCAUUCAAUAUUUGCACUAGCUAACUAACGUUAGGUAGCUGUUGUAAAUUGUCUCAUAUUGGUUUACGGACUCAUAUUCAUAGUUCAUAUUUUACGCUUCAUACUCUACGAUAACUUCAGCUAGUUAUCUUGUGUGUCAGUCUAAAUCCAUCCAUUUGGAAUCACGGCUAAUGUUAACUAUCUAACUAGUCAGUUAGCCUGACAGCUGGCUAGCUAUUGAACAGGUUGCAAGUCCUCCAUCAUCACAUCUGCCAGGCGGACUCAACCAGCAUGGAUUACCAGAACACAGCAAAUGCAGUUGGGGACUGUCUUUUGAGCUACACCAAGGACGAGUCUGGGUGGAAAGUCUGCAAGAAAUCGAAUGACGUCAUCGUGUCCUGGCGGCCAUCGACUGAGUUCCCUGGGAAUGUAUAUAAGGGGGAGUCGGUGGUGAAGGGAAGCCCAGAGAAGGUAUGGGAGUGUCUGAAGCCUGUGCCAAAUGGACUGCGGGUGAAAUGGGACAACAAUGUCAAGAAGUUUGAGCUGGUAGAGCAAGUCACUGAGAACGUCACUGUCUGCAGAACAGUCACUCCAUCAGCAGCCAUGGGCAUCAUAGCUCCCAGAGACUUUGUCGACGUUAUUCUAGUGAAGCAAUAUGAAGAUGGCACCAUUACAUCCAAUGCCACCCACGUGAACCACCCCAGCUGCCCUCCCCAGUCAGGGUAUGUGAGGGGCUUCAACCACCCCUGUGGCUGCAUCUGUGUCCCCAUCUCUGGGGAGCCAAACAAAACCCAGCUGUUCAGUUUCUUCCAGACGGACCUGGGGGGCUUCCUGCCUCGCUCCGUGGUCGACUCUUUCUUCCCAUCCAGCAUGGUGGAGUUCUACAGCAACCUGGCCAAGGCCAUCAAGUCCCUCAAGGACCACUGAUACACUCAUACUAUACCUUCCCUUAGCCCUGGUCCCAGAUCUGUUUGUGCUGCAUAACCAACUCCUGGCACCAGGUGAUACUCAGAUCUGGGACCAGCAUUCAGCGGGACCAAAAAACACAAUGAUUAGCUAUGUGAAUGGUUUAGUUUUAAAGAGGCUAUAUGGAACUUUUCACCUCAGGGGGCUUUUUAACUGAAAGGGACAGAUUGAUUUGAAAAAUCCUUAUUUGAGAGCAUGGGGCACACCUCCCCAGGCCAUAUCUUUCUAGACUAAAAAUAAGGAUUGUGUUGUUUCAUGAGUAAAUAAAUAUUUUAUAUCAACCAUACAGGCAACACUCAAGCCAAAAAUGUAGAUAAACAAUUAGCAACUCAAUUUCUGUACAGCCUCUUUAAAAGAGUGGUCACCUGGCCUUGGAGCAAACUGUAUCUGAGCUUAAAGGGAGAUGAUAUUGGAUGAUAUGAGGGAAGGAAGUGUGCAGCUUGUUUGUCCCAGCACUAACACAGCUGAUUUCAGGUCGUUGAGGUCUUGGUUCAUUUGUGUAAUAAUGGUGUGUUAGUGCUGGAGCAAAAAGCCUGCACCCCUGGUACUGUUGCUCUCUUGGACCAGGUAUGGUGGCCACUAGUGUAGUCUUACAAAAAGGUUGAGUGUCUGUUCUAAUUUCAUUCAACCCUGGAAAAAGCACUCUGGGCCGCACCUUUAAGACUAGAUCUAGAGAAGUCAAUUUUGCCAAACUCUACUUCCAAAACAAAUAUUCCCUGUACAUUUCCUAUUUAGUGAUGCAUUUCCCCCCCUUUUCCCACCACAAAAGAAUGAGAAUAGAUUUGAAAUCUAUAUUUUGUAUUUAGUGUCCUAAACACACGGAGGAUAUGUCCUCCUUCCCUUUUGUACUGUUGCUGUUGAAUACAGUCCAUUCUGUUACACUGGCUGCAUCCUACCUACAGUACCAUGCAUGUUGCAUGGACCUUACAGGAACCCCAGAAUGGAAUCGGAUUCCAUUGGGAUGAGUCAUACCUCAUUUUUUGUUGUCCUUUGUAUACGGUAGUACUGUACUUGAAGUGUUCUGGUUUAACCUGUCUCCACAGCCCUUUAACCAAUACCUAAAGAUGGAAUCCGCAGUAGGGGGAAAUGGUGCCACUGGCUGCCCCACCAGCAUUGUUAUUGUUGUUGCUGAGCUGAGGAGCGUCGUGCAGCAUGGUUAUGAAAUGCAGUACAUAUUGUGCUCUUCUAUCGUGCAGUGCGAUGAUGUCAGAGAUGGAAAUAACCGUGUUUGUUGUUUGCAGUAACUGGAAAGCAUUAUGAACAUGGUUGUUUUACUGUUGAGGAUUCCAGCUUUAACCAGUAACCUUUAGAGGGUGUAUAUACAGCCGGCAGAUGUCCCCCCCCCCUCUAAACUCUAUCCUGUUCCUUACCUUAACAUCUGCCCGCUUUAUAGACGCCUAACCUCCAAGCAAGGAUUCCUGCCUCAGUUACUUUUCUCUAUGUAGAUGUGAAUACUAAGAACACUGCAUUAUUCUUAAGCAAAGUUAUCUGCAGUAUGUAUGGGCAAAUGGCAAUAUGAACAGCUUCAUCUAAUGAAGAAUGGACAAAGGGACAUCCCCUCAAAUAGGAGAGCUUCUGAAGGAUUUAGGGUUUUAUUCAGUGGGGUACGUGUCCCAUAAGUCACUGGUCCAAAUUAGUGCACUAUAUAGGGAGUAGGAUGCCAUAUGGGACAGCUAUAGAUUCCAACAUAUUUUGAAGCGCAGCAGCAUAGGACUGCCACAUGGCAUCAGUUGUGACUAGUGUGUCAUUUUACACUGUAAAGAAAUGUAUUACCAGCAUAGAAUUGAGAAAACCACUGUCUUUGUUAUGGCACAAGAGGGUAUGGUCAUCUGUCUAGGCCAGGGUGCGUCUCCGUAGCUUUUAAAAAAAUCAUCAGUGAAGGGAAACAAUGAGAGCAAGCAUGAAUAGUAGUGAGAUAUAUCCCUAGUUGGUUGAGGAAGCCUCUUCAGAGUUUUGAGAUACAGCCCUAUUAGGGGGAGAGGAAGCCUCCUCAGAGUAUUGAGAGAAGGUGUCUAGAAGGUGUCUUUACAGUGAUGUACAGUCAACCAUCUGCAUGCCUGCUGAGUCCUCUACAUGUAUGAUGAUAAGCCAUCAUACUAAUGAUGUUUUAGAUCAAUCUUUUUAGAAGCUUUGUGGUUAAGUUUCCUUUUGAAAUGAAAACACACUACUUAACGUCCUUUUCUUAUCCCGAGUGGAUAAUAACCUUAACUGACAAACCUUUACAAGUGCAUUGCAUUCCACCUCAUCCACAACCUAUAUGCUUGCUUUUUUAAAAUCAUUGUUUGCCUUUUGUUGGUGUAAUACUAUGAAGGCAUUGUUUUGAUGUGUGUUAUUGUACUGUAAGUGGAGCCUGAAGAUCAUACCUACCUACAGUGUAUUGCUGUUUUAAUGUCAGAGAACACAUUGUCUACUGGUGGCUUGUUUUUAAAAUGUACUCCAUCAUGCGUUUUGGGACAGAUGUGUAUGUUUUGAAUGCCGUUUGUUGUCCUCAGCUCCUGAUUGGAAAGCACAGCUGCUAUGGAAAAUAGCUGCUAUUGAAAUAUACUAUGAGUUCAGUUGUCAAUAAAAGCAACACAGGAAAAUAACAUGUUUUUUUAGGUCAGGAUUAGGGUUAUGAAUUCUGGUAAUUUUUCAAAAAUGUUCAAAAUUUUCCUGAAAUCCCAGUUGGCAGAUUCCUGGAAUCAGUAGGAAACCCUCCAAACAGGAUUUCUGGAAUCAGUAGGGAAUACGCAGGGAAUCUGGAAAUCCUCCAAACAGGAUUUCUGGAAUCAGUAGGGAAUACGCAGGGAAUCUGGAAAUCCUCCAAACAGGAUUUCUGGGAAAUUGGGGAGAGCUACCACAAUUUUGCGACCCUAAUCCUGACCUGCACUCUACUGUACCGUAGGACUGUACUGUAUGUUCCACCCAGCAGGUUUUGUGUUUCACCAGCAUCUGCAUUAAAAACUACUGAACGUUC